rnacentral:lncRNA from 1 species
UGAUAAUUAAUCUGUGCUUUUGGAAACCCUGACAUUCCAGUGCGCAUUGCUGGUGUGGGCAGGUAGGCAUCUGGGUGUUUCCUGCAGGCCACUGGUGCCUGCUCAUCCAGAUUCAUACUCCAUUUUAUGUAUGCAUGCACCCUCUUCUGCUGAAAGCUUAUGGAUUUAUGUCAUCUCUGAAAGAAGCUCUAAAGAAAACUUCCCCAUUUAUGAAGUCCCAAGAGCCAAUCUAGGUGCUUUCUGUUGGAGUAAAAGGUACUGAAAUCUUACAGAAGAAAGCUGAAUAAGGAUUUAGGACUACUCCAAACUGGGAUGAAUUUGCUACAGGAUGGGAAAGAACUGUUGCAAGGAAAAAAAGUCUGUCAAGCUGGUUGAUUGAACAUCACAGAAAGCUACAGAAACUGCACCCAGGACUUUUCAAAGUGGUGUGCUCACAGCUGUGCGGCUGGAAAUGCUUCCUUCACCGACUGAAAUAUUUGCUUGGCUCAGCAGCCCCAGGCACCUCAUGGUUGAGCUGCAUUUCUCACACUUCUAGUCGAGCCUCACCCACGGGGAUCAGCAGGGCACCUGAGGGUCUGUAUCAUCGGGGUAACACAAAUCUUGUCGUCCCUUUACCAGUGAAGACAUCAUCCCCUGGCAUUCCCACUGAAAUUCCCACUGAGGUUUCAGUUAGCCGGCUUUUAUAUCCAAAACCUUCCCCAAGAACCGGGUGUACAAGAACAAGGACAGGACAAUAGGAAAUGGCCUCAUGUUGCACCAGAGGAGCUUUCGAUUGGAUAUUAGGAAAAAUUUUUAUGCUGAAACGGUUAUUAAGCAUUGGAAUGGGCUGGCCAGGGAAGUGGUUGAGGCACCAUCCCUGGAGGUGUUCAAAAGACAGGUAGACAGUGCAUAGAGCCAGGGUUUAGUGAUGGUUUUUGUCAGUAUUGGGUUGAUGGUUGGACUUGAUGAUCUGAACGGCCCCUUCCAACCAAGGUAAUUCUACGAUUCUAUCAUUUCAUGCCUCAAUGCUCUGGCACGGACAUGAUAGCUGCACUUUAAUGUUUGAAUGGUUGUAGCAUCUUACAAGCUUUUUUUUUUUUUAAAAAAAUAAAUUAAAAUUACACCGAACA